ACGGGUGAGUAAUGCCUAGGAAUCUGCCUGGUAGUGGGGGAUAACGUUCGGAAACGGACGCUAAUACCGCAUACGUCCUACGGGAGAAAGCAGGGGACCUUCGGGCCUUGCGCUAUCAGAUGAGCCUAGGUCGGAUUAGCUAGUUGGUGGGGUAAUGGCUCACCAAGGCGACGAUCCGUAACUGGUCUGAGAGGAUGAUCAGUCACACUGGAACUGAGACACGGUCCAGACUCCUACGGGAGGCAGCAGUGGGGAAUAUUGGACAAUGGGCGAAAGCCUGAUCCAGCCAUGCCGCGUGUGUGAAGAAGGUCUUCGGAUUGUAAAGCACUUUAAGUUGGGAGGAAGGGUUGUAGAUUAAUACUCUGCAAUUUUGACGUUACCGACAGAAUAAGCACCGGCUAACUCUGUGCCAGCAGCCGCGGUAAUACAGAGGGUGCAAGCGUUAAUCGGAAUUACUGGGCGUAAAGCGCGCGUAGGUGGUUUGUUAAGUUGGAUGUGAAAUCCCCGGGCUCAACCUGGGAACUGCAUUCAAAACUGACUGACUAGAGUAUGGUAGAGGGUGGUGGAAUUUCCUGUGUAGCGGUGA
rnacentral:rRNA from 1 species